UGCGUAGGUGGCCUUUUAAGUUGGAUGUGAAAUACCCGGGCUUAACUUGGGGGUGCAUCCAAAACUGGGAGGCUAGAGUGCAGGAGAGGAAAGCGGAAUUCCUAGUGUAGCGGUGAAAUGCGUAGAUAUUAGGAGGAACACCAGUGGCGAAGGCGGCUUUCUGGACUGUAACUGACACUGAGGCACGAAAGCGUGGGGAGCAAACAG
rnacentral:rRNA from 1 species